rnacentral:rRNA from 1 species
CAUCUUUAAUAGGUUUAAAGGGUACCUAGACGGUAAAUCAAGCCUACCAUUAAAAUAAAAUAAAUGUAGGGACUAAUAUACUAGAGUUACUUAUGAGGGGGUUUAAAAGUACUGCUGGUGUAGAGAUGAAAUUCUGUCAUACCUCUUUUCAAUAGAAAAAUCACGGCACAGGUAUAGGCGAAAGCAUCCCCUUAUGUGAUAACUGACGUUGAGGGACGAAGGCUUUGUGUAGCGAACAGGAUUAGAUACCCUAGUAGUCAAAGCAGAAAAAUGAUGAAUGUCAUAGAUUAGACGUAUAAGUUUAUUCUAUAAAUGAAAAGUGUAAGCAUUCCACCUCAAGAGUAAUUUGGCAACAUUGGAACUGAAAUCAUUAGACCGUUUCUGAAACCAGUAGUGAAGUAUGUUGUUUAAUUUGAUGGUCCGCAAAAAACCUUACCACAAUUUGAAUAUUUAUAUUUUUUUUAUUGUUUUCUUAUUAAUUUUAUUUCUUUUCUGCAGUUUUAUCUUGUUUUUAUUUUACUUCUUUUUCAGAUUUUUCAUAUUUCUUGUAGAAGAAUAAAUAAGAAUAAUAAUCAGAAUAUGAUAAGAUCAGAAAAUCAGAAAAUUAAUGAGGGGGCAAUAAAGUAUAUUUACAAGCGCUGCACGGCUGUCUUCAGUUAAUGUCGCGAGACUAUGGUUAGUUCCAUUAAUUAACGUAAACCCUUACUUUAUUUUUAUAUAGAGUAGUUCCCCACUAUAUUGGAUAUGAUAACAGGGACUAAGACAAGUCAUCAUGGCCUAAAUAUUGUGGGCUAUAGACGUGCCACAUAAGCCUUACAAAAAGGGUG